GGUGGUGUGGCGAAGUGGAAACGCGGUGGUCUGCAAAAUCACUAGGCACGGGUUCGAUUCCCGUCACCACCU
rnacentral:tRNA from 1 species